UAGACUAUACUUUCAAGGAUCAUUUCUAUAGUAUGUUACUAGAGAAUUGUGGCUGAAAAUGUAGCACGGAGGGCCAUUUAGUAAGAUGAUAGGAAUCAACAUGAGGACUAAU
ensembl:snoRNA U3 Small nucleolar RNA U3